rnacentral:ncRNA from 1 species
UGGUUCAUAUCGAUUGAUUAAAAAGGGAAUCAGGUGCGAGUCCUGAACAGUCCCGCUGCUGUGAGCGGUGUUAUAGAUAUACAGCAAGUCACUGUCGGCCUUUGACGGGAAGACGUAUAUCUGCCGCAAGUCAGAAGACCUGCCGUUGCAA